GCUCCACAUUUCGAAGAAAUAAUUUUCAAUAUUUGAAAAUAUUACAUAAGGAAGAGAAAGUGGGCACGAGACCGCGUCCUGUAUAAGAGAGUUAUGCAUUAUCUUCCAUUUCCCACGAGCAUUAGCAUUGAGAACAAGAAUGAACUACUCUUUCUUAUUGGGUGUGGCUAUUGCCAUUGCAAUUGGGUGUUUGAGCAUUUUGCUGCCAUAUUUUUCCCACAGAAACCAGGGGCUACAUGAUGGAUGCAGUCUGCUGCCACAUAAGCACUUCUGGGUAUAUAGCAAUCGUGUGCUUACUCCAGGAGGAAUAACAGCUGCAGCAGUGGAGAUCAGUGAAGGACAUAUUGUGUCUGUUGUCAAUCAAAAUAAGGCACCAAAGAAAACAAAGGGAGUACAUGUGAUUGACUAUGGAAAUGCUGUUAUCAUGCCAGGCCUUGUUGAUGUGCACGUGCAUUUGAAUGAACCUGGAAGAGUCGAAUGGGAAGGAUUUGUGACAGGAACCAAGGCAGCCGCUGCAGGGGGUUUCACAACACUUAUUGAUAUGCCCCUUAACAGUGUCCCUACAACUACAAGCAAAGAAGCUUUUGAUAUGAAGGUAGAUGCUGCAAAGGGGAGGCUUUUUGUUGAUGUUGGUUUCUGGGGAGGUUUAGUGCCAGAGAAUGCUUUUAACAAUACUGCUAUUGAUGAACUUUUGCAAGCAGGUGCUCUUGGAUUGAAGUCUUUCAUGUGUCCAUCAGGGAUCAAUGACUUUGGACAGACAAAUGCAAGCCAUAUCAAGGAAGCUUUAAAGAUAUUAGCAAAGUAUCAACGCCCUUUGCUUGUGCAUGCUGAAACCCCCCAGCCUUCAGAAGAGAAAAUAGAGACAGAUGAUAGCGAAAGAAGAAUGUAUUCAACUUAUCUUAGAACUAGACCACCUUCCUGGGAGGAGGAAGCUGUAAAGGAAUUAAUAGGAGUAUCAAAAGAUACCCUUUUUGAUGGUCCUAAAGAUGGAGCUCACAUUCAUAUAGUGCAUUUAUCAGAUUCAAGCGCUUCCCUUGACUUAAUUAAGGAAGCAAAAGAAAGUGGUGCAAGGAUUAGUGUGGAAACAUGCCCACAUUAUCUUGUAUUUUCUGCAGAAGAAAUAAGUGAUGGGGAUACGAGGUUCAAAUGUGCACCCCCUAUAAGAGAUGCUCUAAACAGAGAACGUUUAUGGGAGGCUUUGAAAGAUGGGCACAUAGACAUGCUCAGUUCUGAUCACUCACCUUCAAGUCCGGAGCUCAAACUUCUUGAGACAGGUGAUUUUCUGAGAGCAUGGGGUGGAAUAUCUUCCUUGCAGUUUGGUCUUCCUGUUACAUGGUCAUAUGGGCAGCAGCACGGUCUACAAUUAGACCAGCUAUCAGAAUUAUGGAGUCAUCGACCUGCCAAGCUUGCUGGUCAACAUAAAAAGGGAACAAUCGUGACUGGAAAUGAUGCUGAUCUUGUUGUUUGGGAUCCAGAAAUCAAUUUUGAGAUUGGUGAAAACUAUACUAUAUAUCACAAACACCCGAUUACACCAUAUGCAGGGAAGCACUUAUUUGGAAGUGUGAUUGCAACUUUUGUGAGAGCAAACAUGGUUUAUGGAAAUGGUUCUCAUGCUUCAACUGCCUGUGGUGUUCCUAUCCUUGCUGCUUAAAGAGAACAUUUUUAUUGAGCUGCCUGUGGUGUUCCUAUCCUUGCUGCUUAAAGAGAAUAUUUUUAUUGAGCUAGGUUGAUGGUUGAGGAGGAUAGGACUCCUUCGAUGUGUAGGCUCAUAUUACCUUUACCACACAUUGCUAACGAAUUGGAUGGAGUGGGAGUUCUUGAACAUUGCUAGAGGGGAUAUACGGAUGUAUUUAUCAGAUUUUGGAAUUGAAACCACUAUUGAGUAUGUGGGAUGAUACUUGGGCAUAUUACAUAUAUAGAAGUAUAUUAAUUGUUAGAUAUAUUAUUGAUUUGGACGUACUAUAACAAUAGUAUCAACUUAUUGAAGUCAUUAACAUUGUUACUACAUUGUAUUCGGUAUAUUGAUGUAUUUAUGAUAUUUGAUUAUGGUAUUUGUUUAGUA